rnacentral:lncRNA from 1 species
CCUCCAGAUCUCUUCAUCCUUUGAAACAUCCAAGUUCCUUGAAGAAGAAGGAAGAAAUCAUCCUCCAAGAUCCUCGCAAGCUAGCACUUCCAAAGAGUCUGAUCUGUGAUGAUCUUCGUGUAGAUGUUCUGUAGAGGUCGGAUGACUUUGUGUGACUGUAAGCAAUCUGAAAGAGAGCCUAUCCAAGUGUUGGACUAGCAGAGAUCAAAAAUUUUCAGUUUGGUAAUGGUUUCUAAACUCCCUUCAUCAUUUUUGUUAGAUCUAACGGUUAGAUUUAGAAUUGCUGCAUCGAUCAGAUCGAUGCAAGUUUUAUUUUCAGAUCUCAUGUGCAUAUUAAAUCAUAUAAUUUAUUUUGGUAUGGUAGUCUAGAUUAGAUCUUAUGCAUAUAAUUUAGAUUAAAUUAUUUAAUCUUAUAGUUCUGCUGCAUAAAAAUUUUGAAAUUGCAUGCAUAGUACUGUCAGUGUUUCCUUCAUUACCAUCAUUCAUUGUAUAGGAUUG